GGUUGUGUAGUGUAGUGGUUAUCACUCUGGAUUUUGACUGAUGGUCAAUAUUUCCAGUAACCCCGGUUCGAACCCGGGCACGACCU